GCGCGGGCAGGGCGGGCCAUCGGCGAGGGGUCGGGGCCUCGGGAGUCGCCCGGGAGCCACCUUCCGUGCCAGGGGCGCCGUGGGGCGCUGGCGGCGGAAAGAGUAGUUUCCAGCUCCGGCCUCCUCCGGCCUCCGGGCCCCGAGCGCAGUCGUCCCGAGGGGAGGGAAGCACGGGAGCAGACAGGAGAGAGGACACUUACUUAAAAGGCUACAUAGUUUCACUCCCUGCCCUUCCCGGAGCAGCGGCGACACCACCCGGCCCCUGGGAUCCGGCCUCAGAUUUCAUUACAUAAAGAGGUGUUCAGAAAUACCCCAGGAUUAUAAAUCUCCAAGUGCUGUUCUACAAUAUGAUUAUACUCAUCUUUUAAUGUAGCCUGGAAUCCAGGAAGAAAAGUAGGUCUCCGCAUGAAGGAUCUUUGGCUGUGCUCAACAAAGAUGAAAGUAACAUUUAAAUAUUGUUUCCUUGGCUCUUAGGAACAGACCAAAGGAGCAGGGACUGACCACAUGCUGCAGCCCUGUGUCCAUGAGGAAUAAAUGGAUUUCUGGAGAAGCAUUCUUCUCUUUCAUUUACUUGUUUUCAUCUCAUUCCACAGAGGAAUCUGAGUGUUUUUAUUGUAGUACUAUGAGAUCUUGGGCAUCCUUGUUCUUAGGUGUGUAAGUUUAGAAUUGUAUAAACUUGAGGCUCAUAUGACAAAUGUAAAUAAGCCAAAUGAGGGCUCCUGUUGGCAAAAUGAUUUUGAAGAGUCCUUUUAAUAUGCUAUUGCCACAAGGCAAAGUUGAGUGUCUCCUGCUUGUAUUUAUGUAUGUGUUAGGCAUAUAGAGAAGAUCUACAAGGAAAUGCACAGAAAUGAAAAUAUUAAGGUGGUGGGAUUAUGAAUGAUGUUUUUUCAGUAUUUUUAAUUUAGUGUUGUUAUAUUGUUUUUACAAUAAAAAUUUGAAUGCUCUUA